rnacentral:rRNA from 1 species
UACGGAGGAUGCGAGCGUUAUCCGGAUUUAUUGGGUUUAAAGGGUGCGUAGGCGGGCUGUUAAGUCAGCGGUCAAAUCGUGGGGCUCAACCCCAUCCAGCCGUUGAAACUGGGGAUCUAGAGUGUGCGAGAGGUAUGCGGAAUGCGUGGUGUAGCGGUGAAAUGCAUAGAUAUCACGCAGAACCCCGAUUGCGAAGGCAGCUUACCAAGCUACUUCUGACGUUGAGGCACGAAAGCGUGGGGAGCAAACAGG